GUUACCACGGCACACUCUGCUGUGGUUCUUCGAAGGAGGCCGCACAGCUACAGGCAGCUUGGCUGAACAUCUUACCUGCUGUGCUGUUCAGACUUAUGGAGCCAACACUGCAGUCAAAACCAGCUGCAAAGCCCGCCGUCAAACGUCCCACCAGGACGAAGAAAGGAGAAGUGAAGUUGCCUGUGCUGACCAUACGUAGCCCAUUCUGUGCUGAAGUUAUAAGACCAAACCCACAGACCGAAGUGGCUUCAAAAAGCUCAGGCAGCCAGCAGUCAUGUCAGCUCCAGCUCGGGGUCAAGGAGCCACAAACGCCGACCAACACGAGGAAAUCAUUUCAUAAUGGUGUUCCCAGGAGUACAGGGUCUUGCAUACAGGGUGUGAUAGGCCCGGCCUGUGUUACUACGCUACAAAAAUGUCUGAUCAUCACAUCUCUGCACCACCGCACCACGAAGGACAUGUCAGAAAAGCAAGCAGCUUCACGACAGGGUAAAUUAUGCUUACAGAUACCCUAGGUAUUUUACAGGCAUCUUUAUAACUGGUUUAUACACCCCACUCAUAUACAGUAAAACCAGGUUUGUUACUGUAUGCAGAAACAUAUGGAAAUGAUUGUAAAAGAAGGUCUAUUCAUAAAGCUGUUUCCAAAAAAAGGUUUGGAUGCUUUGGAAAAAGAUGAUAUUUACAACAUAUCAAAUGCUCCAAGUGAGACUGUUGAAACUGUUGUAAAUUUGUAUUUUUCUUUUUUUGGUGACUGGUCUGGACUGCUGGUUGCCAUGUAGCUACUAUAAUACAGCCAGAACAUGGUUUGCAUUGUCUUACUGACCCAAGGAAGCAUUCUCUGAAACAGACAUCAUCUAGAUGGCAGCAUUUGUUGUAUACCAAAAUCUGUUUAGCAGAUGCACAAGUUGGCCUUGCUGUAUGCAUGACCGCCCCUAUAUACUGUCACAGAUGCUGGUAUUUUUAACAGUACAGUGAGAUCAAGCCAGAUGGUAUUUUUUAGCCUGGAGAAUACACCAUCCAAGAAAAAGAUCAAAUAAAAUUUUGAAUGAUUUGACAACAGCUCAGUUAUCAUUUAGCCAGGAAGUCUUGCGUUUUUAAAUCCCUUUUGCU